AUACGGAGGGUGCAAGCGUUAUCCGGAUUCACUGGGUUUAAAGGGUGUGUAGGCGGGCUAUUAAGUCAGUGGUGAAAUCUCCGGGCUCAACCCGGAAACUGCCAUUGAUACUAUUAGUCUUGAAUAUCGUUGAGGUUGGCGGAAUAUAUCAUGUAGCGGUGAAAUGCAUAGAUAUGAUAUAGAACACCGAUUGCGAAGGCAGCUAACUAAACGAUGAUUGACGCUGAGGCACG
rnacentral:rRNA from 1 species